rnacentral:rRNA from 1 species
UUAUAAGAGACAGCAGCCGCCGCGGUAAUACAGAGGGUGCGAGCGUUAAUCGGAUUUACUGGGCGUAAAGCGUGCGUAGGCGGCUUCUUAAGUCGGAUGUGAAAUCCCUGAGCUUAACUUAGGAAUUGCAUUCGAUACUGGGAAGCUAGAGUAUGGGAGAGGAUGGUAGAAUUCCAGGUGUAGCGGUGAAAUGCGUAGAGAUCUGGAGGAAUACCGAUGGCGAAGGCAGCCAUCUGGCCUAAUACUGACGCUGAGGUACGAAAGCAUGGGGAGCAAACAGGAUUAGAUACCCCGGUAGUCCCUGUCUCUUAUAC